UUAAGUGGCGGACGGGUGAGUAACGCGUGGGUAACCUGCCUCAUACAGGGGGAUAACAGUUAGAAAUGACUGCUAAUACCGCAUAAGACCACGGUACCGCAUGGUACAGUGGUAAAAACUCCGGUGGUAUGAGAUGGACCCGCGUCUGAUUAGGUAGUUGGUGGGGUAACGGCCUACCAAGCCGACGAUCAGUAGCCGACCUGAGAGGGUGAUCGGCCACAUUGGGACUGAGACACGGCCCAG
rnacentral:rRNA from 1 species